GACGAACGCUGGCGGCGUGCUUAACACAUGCAAGUCGAACGGAAAGGCCUGCUUUCCCUUGUGGAUUGCGGGUACUCGAGUGGCGAACGGGUGAGUAACACGUGAGUGAUCUGCCCCCAACUUGGGUAUAAGCCUGGGAAACUGGGUCUAAUUCCCGAUAGGACUGCAGGGUGGUGCCUGUGGUGGAAAACGAUUUUCUAGUGGUUGGGGAUGAGCUCGCGGCCUAUCAGCUUGUUGGUGGGGUAAUGGCCUACCAAGGCGGCGACGGGUAGCCGGCCUGGGAGGGUGGACGGCCACAUUGGGACUGAGAUACGGCCCAGACGCCUACGGGAGGCAGCAGUGGGGAAUAUUGCACAAUGGGCGGAAGCCUGAUGCAGCGACGCCGCGUGGGGGAUGACGGCCUUCGGGUUGUAAACUCCUUUCGACCGCGAGGAAGCCACCUGGUGGGAAGGGUGGUGACGGUAGUGGUAGAAGAAGCACCGGCUAACUACGU
rnacentral:rRNA from 1 species